CAACCUGCGAUUUCCAGGGUUUCAGCCACAUCUCCAACCGACGAUGGCGGCGUGAUAUGCGACGACCGCUUGAUCUCCGGCCGUGGAAGGUUUUCGAUUGUUGAAGAAGAAGCCCAAGAUCAUGCAGCAGCAUCUUGAUUAUUGUUUCCCUGGUUUAUGGCUAUCCAAGAUAACUCCUCGAUCCUACAAAGCCAAUGAAUAAGACAUGUGUUCUUAUAGUCCGUAUACAUUGUGAAGGUUGUAAGGAUAGGUCAGGAAGAAGGUGCAGAAGGUUCAAGAAGGAAAAUGUUUGUCUGGCAAACUCUAUAUCUGAAAUGCAUAAAUUUGGAGCAAUCUAUAAUAUCAAAUGGUUCUCAUACUUUGGCACAUGAAUCCAAUGAUUUGGGUAAAAAAGAUAAAAAGAAGAAAGGAACAAAAAGAGGAAGGCACUUUGAUAGAGAUUCUCGAGCUACUAAUCCAGAGGUCUCAAUUUGGUGUGAUCUCACUGUAGUUGAAGACA